AUACAGAGGGUGCAAGCGUUGUUCGGAAUUACUGGGCGUAAAGCGCUCGUAGGCGGCUUGUUAAGUCGGAUGUGAAAUCCCCGGGCUCAACCUGGGAACUGCAUUCGAUACUGGCAAGUUAGAGUAUAGUAGAGGCAAGUGGAAUGCUUGGUGUAGAGGUGAAAUUCGUAGAUAUCAAGCGGAACACCGGUGGCGAAGGCGGCUUUCUGGACGAUUACUGACGCUGAGGUGCGAAAGCGUGGGGAGCAAACAGGAUUAGAUACCCCAGUAGUAC
rnacentral:rRNA from 1 species